rnacentral:rRNA from 1 species
UACGAGGGGGGCGAGCGUUGUUCGGAAUUAUUGGGCGUAAAGGGUGCGUAGGCGGUUUGGUAAGUCUGAUGUGAAAUCUAUGGGCUCAACUCAUAGUCUGCAUCGGAAACUGCCGGGCUUGAGUGUGGGAGAGGUGAGUGGAAUUCCUGGUGUAGCGGUGAAAUGCGUAGAUAUCAGGAGGAACACCUGUGGCGAAAGCGGCUCACUGGACCAUAACUGACGCUGAUGCACGAAAGUGUGGGGAUCAAACAGG